UACGGGGGGAGCAAGCGUUGUUCGGAUUUACUGGGCGUAAAGGGCGCGUAGGCGGUCAGCACAAGUCAGUUGUGAAAUCUCCGGGCUUAACUCGGAAAGGUCAACUGAUACUGUGCGACUAGAGUGCAGAAGGGGCAACUGGAAUUCUCGGUGUAGCGGUGAAAUGCGUAGAUAUCCGGAGGAACACCGGUGGCGAAGGCGGCUUCCUGGACCGACACUGACGCUGAGGCGCGAAAGCUAGGGGAGCAAACGGG
rnacentral:rRNA from 1 species